rnacentral:rRNA from 1 species
CAGCCGCCGCGGUAAUACGAAGGGUGCAAGCGUUAAUCGGAAUUACUGGGCGUAAAGCGUGCGUAGGCGGUGAGUUAAGUCUGCUGUGAAAUCCCCGGGCUCAACCUGGGAAUGGCAGUGGAUACUGGCUCGCUAGAGUGUGUCAGAGGAUGGUGGAAUUCCCGGUGUAGCGGUGAAAUGCGUAGAGAUCGGGAGGAACAUCAGUGGCGAAGGCGGCCAUCUGGGACAACACUGACGCUGAGGCACGAAGGCGUGGGGAGCAAACAGGAUUAGAUACCCGCGUAGUCCCUGUCUCUUAUAC